AGGUAUGGAAUGUGCAGAGUUAUCACAGCUUGAAAGUACUUAUGGUAAAAAAUACUUAGGAUCCUUGGUGUUCAGAAAUAUCAGAAGCCACAUCAGCAUCAGGAUGUCAUAUAACACUUUAUUCAAGACUGAGAACAGAGCCAGACGAACAGCUAUGGAGGACCAUGGAAAGAAGUUGUUGCAGUAACACCGUGUUUUAUGUCUUAUAUCUGUAUUUGCUGUAUCUAGCCUGGAUACGUUACCAAACAGCAGGCCCUGGAUUGUACUCUAUUGGUUAUAUACUACCUACCACAGCACAGUAUGACUACACCAAUGUGAAACAGCUUCUGCUGAAACACAGACGUCGGCUCACGAAACCUGGCACCUCAUACAGGGAAAGAAUAUGAACUAGUACUUGGAGUCAGUUGUGCUGGAAGAGUACUAUACUUCAAACCUUCCCUCACAGCUGGAAUUUCUAUUUCAUCCACUUGAAAUGAUUCAGUUCAUUUCAUGCAAGUAGUAAUUCAUAUCCCCAGAAGAACCAGGCUGGCAAAUUAUAUCAGGGAAUAAAAACUUGUCAGUACAUGAAGAGUUGACUUUGGUCUUGACAUAAUCUCUAAGCAUAUAUAGUAUUAGCUGGUGACUAGGCAUGUCCUAAAGAAGUUAUUUGUCUUCUGAAAUGAAAUAUACAAUGAACUGUGGUUCAUCUUAGCUUAGGUAAAGACAUUUAUUUACUUUAUUUCUACAUCAGUGACAGACUAUUCAUGUCAUUCUUUAUUUUACUAAAAUACUCCAUAAAGAGGUAAAUCUUAAUAGCCAAAGCUCAUUAAGAGACUUUUCUAAUAGAUUUGAUUGCUAUUGACCUAGACAUUGACCUAGUGUAUAAUCAUAGACAUUAAAGAUACAAAACACUAAAUAAGUCACCGUAUUAAUCUUUUUGCUACUGCAACUAUUUCUAAUAUUUUCUAGUACCUUGUCUAAUCUACUUUUGAAUGUCCCAUACAGUAAGAUUUCUACCACUUCCCUUGGAAGAACAUCACACUGUUCAAUAGAUCAUCUGUCAAAAACUUUUUCAUUGAUAUUCAAUACUAUUUGGUAGAAAUAUAUCAUUUUGUAACAAGCAGGACAUAGACAUAAAAUUGAAUGAGUUUAUGUACCAAGGGUUUUUUUUUUUAACAAAAAUUAUAACUGGGAAAAUAGUUUUUAAAAAGUCACACCAACAAUUAUGGGCUUUUAAAGCAGAUGUAUAAAAUAAUUAUAUUUUGGUUGUUUGGACUGCUGAACCAAAGUGUCUUCUAAUAAAUCAAAUUCUGUUGAUAUCUUUAUCACAUGUAAGGUAACAAAUCUGUGAGACUAUCAAUCAACAUUAUACCAAUCAAC